rnacentral:piRNA from 1 species
UUAAGAAUUCAGAGCCAGUCAGU